AUCGAAUCAAAAAUUUUUGAGUUAAUCGAGUUUUCGAAUCUCAUUUUAUCAUCCUAACUUUAUUUGAAGUUUUAUCGAAUCGAAUCGAGUGAGAUAGAAAUCGAAUCGAAUCGAAUCGAAUCGAAUCGAAUUAUUUGUUCGAGUUAAGUUUAAAAAUAAAAUAAAAUUAUUGUUGUUUAUUUUUAUGUAAUUUUUCAAAAAAUAAUUUUCUUUAAAGUUUUUAAACAUAAUCAUACAACAAAAAAUUGAAGUAAAUAAGUGAAUAAAUA
rnacentral:lncRNA from 1 species